rnacentral:lncRNA from 1 species
GGAUCACCUGAGGUCAGGAGUUCCAGACCAGCCAGGCCAACAUGUUGAAACCCCGUCUCUACUAAAAAUACACAAAUUAGCUGGAUGUGGUGGCGGGCACCUGUAAUCCCAGCUACUCAGGAGGCUGAGGCAGGAGAAUCACUAGGACCCGGGAGGCAGAGGUUGCAGUGAGCCAAGAUCAUACCAUUGCACUCCAGCCUGGGGGACAAAGCGAGACUCCGUCUCAAAAAAAAAGAGAAAGAAAAAGUAAUCAAUAUUGUUACAAUACUAUUAACUACAGACUCUUAUUCGGACGGCACCAGUUUUUCCACUAAUGUUCUUUAGUCCAGGAUUCCAUGUUGCAUUGAACAUUAAUACAUUUCAGUAAAACAAUACAGUGAAGUCACAGGAUAACACAUGAUAAUUGAUUAUCAGAUGCAGAUGGUGAAAAGAGCUUUGCCUCAGGUCAGGAGGGCCUAACACUCAUCUCAGCAGUGAAGGGACGCAAGUCGCGCCCGCAGGGGUGUGAGGUUGUUUCACACAGCGUUGGGGCAGGCAUUCCAGCUCUCAGUAAGAACUAAUAUGGUUCAAUGUACGCUAACUCCCCCAAGGAAUCUGCAGUUCACAUUAGGCAAAGGGUAUAAAGCUCUAAUUAUGAACUCCGCAGCCAGAGUGGACCAUGAAGUUGAACAUUUCCACAAAGAAGAGGAGAGACUUACUUUCCCAUGCUCUGAAGUCACACUUCCUGCCCUGUACUCUAGGAGCGAUGCGAAGCCUCAGGACUCAAGCUUAUUUCUGAAGCAAGGUCUCAAGUCAAAAAAAAGAAAAAGAAACAUUUAGACUUGCCCCUUCUGAGGAGUCGCUAUUCUGUGCCUCUCUAGGGGCCACCUUUGCUCAGAGGCUCCGUUAGGCUGGUGAAGCAGGGGGCUACAGUGGGAGGGAGAAAGGCUGAACAUUCCUCAGCGUCGGCGUCGGCGUCCAUGGGGGGCUCUGAGCGAUGGCCUUCUCCGCUUGCAAGGUCAUUGGUCUUUGAGCCGGACUCGCUGCCUAAGGCAGGCUAAGACUGGCAUAUUAGCAUUCCAUCUACAUUUAACUUGGAAUAAAUUCUAGAUUUAGCCCUGCAGCUAGGAUGGAAUUUUUCCCCUUCCGCUGCCCUCCCGCUUCCUGCCUUAGAGCUGGGUCUGGGGUGAGGCAGAUGAGGGGCUAACAGCGUAACAUGCAGAGAGGCUCUUGCACCACCGUGAGAGUGAGCGCAUGUCUCCUACAAUUUUUCCACUCUAGGUCCUUUGCUUGUCACACAGCGUGGUUACCUCUUCCUCACCUGCAGCUUCAGCCCCACUGUGUUGUCAUAAUGACUUAGCACCUACAAAAUGAAAAGAGGGCCAAAAAAACCCCCCAAAACGUCUAGCUUCCCCCUCAGUUAAGUGUUCAAAGUGUCCUAACUUCCAGCUUUGAAAUAGGACUGAAGAUGAACCAUGCUCCUGGCACCCCCUGUUGAGAGCCCAAGUUCAGCAGAUUGCGGCCAUGGGGGACUGAAAAUGGAGCCCUGGACAAAGACACUUGCUGGGUGACCCAAGGCAAGACUUUCCAUGUACACUAUGAAUGCCAAGUGCUGUGAAUACCAACCCAUGCUUUCAAAGAGCCUGCUGCCUCAGAGCAUGUGAUGUGGAACUUUCUGGUGGCCUCGGCGUGGAGGUUCUCAACCUCAGCUGCACACUGUGUUUAGUUGGUCUGGAGCGAGAUCUAGGCAUCAGUAUAUUUUUUAAGCUCCCCAUGUGAUUGUAAUAUGCAGCCAAGAAUAAAAAAAAAAAACACUGGGCUAGGUCAUUCCUGGCCGAGGUGAGGAGGUGGUGAGAUGGAUUGGAAGGGGACCAUGGCAAGGAUUCUUAGGGGUGUCAAGGAGGAGAUGAAAGGAGGACUCAGACAAGGGGAUCUGGCAAGUUUUCAGAAAUCACCUGCUGAUGCCUUUUAAAGCUAAUGCCAUUAUUGAAUCUUAGUCAUCCAUUCAUCCUCUACUCACCAGUGACUAAUAUUGAUGUGUUUUAGACAUAUAAAGAUGAAUUAAGACCCAGUCCCUGCCCUUAGGCGGCACACAGUAGGAGAGACAGACUCAUGAACACAUGGUGGUGUAAUCAAAGUUAGUCAUGGACUGUAUAUGUACUCAAUUCUGGGGCCCACAGGGCACCCCAUUCUGUGGGUAAGGGGCAAGCUCACCCCAAUGUCAGGCAUACUAGGAAGAGGCUAAAGCUAAAAUAUCCAAUGAGAGCCUGCAAGGAGGGCCUUGGACAGGGGAAAGACAAGAACUUCUUGGGCUUUCUGGGCUUCCUCUCCAGAGCCUGUGUCCUGAGAAGUCUGUGAAGUAGGUACACUCAAGGUUACUCUACUGGACAACUCCGGGGGUGUCAUUCAUUUGUAUUUUAUGAAAACACUGCCCACUAGAGUUGUGCACCUAGAUGGCAUUGCGAGUGUGGUAAGAGAAGCUGACUCUGACCAGAGGGCUCCGGAAGGUGCCUCUGCCGUUUGAUAAGGAAGCUCCUAUGAGAAACACGGGAACAGAUCUAUGCCUGUGGGCUCUGAGAACAGCCACAUCCAGAAGCCAGGCAGAAGAUCCUCUAUUUUUCUUUCCGGUUUUCCCAGAGCCUUCAGUGAAGUAGAAUUAAGAACAAGUCUGUGGCCACCCUUUGGGCUGGCAUGGUUCCAGACACUGGCAUCCUCUAGGGCCAGGGUAGUUGUGGCAUCCCCAGAACUGCAGAGAGGCUCACCACAGCAUGGGCAGGGCUAUGGUUUGCACGUGUCUCCCAAAAUUUCAUGUGUUAAAAACUUAAUCCUCAAUGCAACAGUGUUGGGAGGUGGGACCUAGUAAGAGGUGACUGGGUCAGGAGAGCAAAGCCCUCAUGAAUGGAUUAACAUCAUUAUUAAAAGAGUGGGUUGUUACAAAGCAAGUCUGGCUCCUGGUGCCUGUUGGUCUUCAGUGCUCACUUCUGCCUUCACCCUUCCACCAUGGGAUGACCCUCACCUAUUGUCAGUGGCAUGCUCUUGGAUUGCCCAGCCUCCAGAACUAUAAACUGAAUAAAUCUCUUUUCUUUUAAGUUAUACUGUGGUUUUCUGCUGAAGCAGCAGCACAGUGAACUAAGACAGGCAGUGACCCAGAGGGAUGAGGUCCCAUGACUGAGACCUCACCCAAUCACCCACAGAAAUAUACUAGAUGGAAGGGAGGCUAGAAAGGGGAGUUGAGGUCCUGCCACCAUGCUGGUGGGGAUGUGUAGCCCAUGGGCUUGGGUUUAAUUUUUUUUUUUUUUUUUUUUUUUGAGAUGGAGUCUCACUCUGUCACCUAGGCUGGAGUGCAGUGGAAUGAUCUCGGCUCACUGCAACCUCUGCCUCCCAGGUUCAACCGAUUCUCCUGCCUCAGCCUCCUGAGUUGCUGGGAUUACAGGCGUCCGCCACCACACCUGACUAA